GGCAGUUCUCAAGCAAUGCACCCCAGAAUUGGGCUCCCUCCUCUCUGGUUCUGGGUGCAUCACUGCUGCC
rfam:Myotis brandtii contig160078, whole genome shotgun sequence.